rnacentral:rRNA from 1 species
UACGUAGGGGGCAAGCGUUAUCCGGAAUUACUGGGCGUAAAGCGCACGCAGGCGGUUCGCCAAGUUCGGAGUGACAGUUGUCGGCUCAACCGACAAAGGACUUCAAAAACUGGUGAACUUGAGGACGAGAGAGGAACAUGGAACUCCAGGUGUAGUAGUGAAAUGCGUAGAUAUCUGGAAGAACACCAAUGGCGAAGGCAAUGUUCUGGCUCGUUUCUGACGCUCAGGUGCGAAAGCCAGGGGAGCGAACGGG